UACAGGGGUCUCAAGCGUUGUUCGGAUUCAUUGGGCGUAAAGGGUGCGUAGGCGGCGCGGUAAGCCGGGUGUGAAAUCUCGGGGCUUAACUCCGAAACUGCAUUCGAUACUGCCGUGCUUGAGGACUGGAGAGGAGACUGGAAUUUACGGUGUAGCGGUGAAAUGCGUAGAUAUCGUAAGGAAGACCAGUGGCGAAGGCGGGUCUCUGGACAGUUCCUGACGCUGAGACACGAAGGCCAGGGGAGCAAACGGG
rnacentral:rRNA from 1 species